UACGAAGGGGGCUAGCGUUGCUCGGAAUCACUGGGCGUAAAGCGCACGUAGGCGGGUCGCUAAGUCGGGGGUGAAAUGCCGAGGCUCAACCUCGGAACUGCCUUUGAUACUGGCGAUCUUAGAGUCCGGGAGAGGUGAGUGGAACUCCGAGUGUAGAGGUGAAAUUCGUAGAUAUUCGCAAGAACACCAGUGGCGAAGGCGGCUCACUGGCCCGGUACUGACGCUGAGGCACGAAAGCGUGGGGAGCAAACAGG
rnacentral:rRNA from 1 species